AUCCGGAAUGGGCCAUUGGGGAGUAAAAACGGGGGAAAACUGCCCAGAAGCGGGGGAUAACACCUGGGAAACAAAAGGUUAAAAUCGGCAAUACCAAUUGGGCCCGGGAUGGUUCGAGGUUGAAAGAAUGGUUUCGGCUAUCACUUUUGGAUGGUCCCGCGGCGUAUUAGCUAGAUGGUGGGGUAACGGCUCACCAUGGCAAUGAUACGUAGCCGACCUGAGAGGGUAAUCGGCCACAUUGGGACUGAGACACGGCCCAAACUCCUACGGGAGGCAGCAGUAGGGAAUUUUCCACAAUGGACGAAAGUUUGAUGGAGCAACGCCGCGUGAGUGAAGAAGGGUUUCGGUCGUAAAAUUCUGUUGUUAAAGAAGAACAUAUCUGAGAGUAACUGUUCAGGUAUUGACGGUAUUUAACCAGAAAGCCACGGCUAAAUACGUGCCAGCAGCCGCGGUAAUACGUAGGUGGCAAGCGUUGUCCGGAUUUAUUGGGCGUAAAGCGAGCGCAGGCGGUUUUUUAAGUCUGAUGUGAAAGCCUUCGGCUCAACCGAAGAAGUGCAUCGGAAACUGGGAAACUUGAGUGCAGAAGAGGACAGUGGAACUCCAUGUGUAGCGGUGAAAUGCGUAGAUAUAUGGAAGAACACCAGUGGCGAAGGCGGCUGUCUGGUCUGUAACUGACGCUGAGGCUCGAAAGUAUGGGUAGCAAACAGGAUUAGAUACCCUGGUAGUCCAUACCGUAAACGAUGAAUGCUAAGUGUUGGAGGGUUUCCGCCCUUCAGUGCUGCAGCUAACGCAUUAAGCAUUCCGCCUGGGGAGUACGGCCGCAAGGCUGAAACUCAAAGGAAUUGACGGGGGCCCGCACAAGCGGUGGAGCAUGUGGUUUAAUUCGAAGCUACGCGAAGAACCUUACCAGGUCUUGACAUACUAUGCAAAUUUAAGAGAUUAGACGUUCCCUUCGGGGACAUGGAUACAGGUGGUGCAUGGUUGUCGUCAGCUCGUGUCGUGAGAUGUUGGGUUAAGUCCCGCAACGAGCGCAACCCUUAUUAUCAGUUGCCAGCAUUAAGUUGGGCACUCUGGUGAGACUGCCGGUGACAAACCGGAGGAAGGUGGGGAUGACGUCAAAUCAUCAUGCCCCUUAUGACCUGGGCUACACACGUGCUACAAUGGAUGGUACAACGAGUUGCGAACUCGCGAGAGUAAGCUAAUCUCUUAAAGCCAUUCUCAGUUCGGAUUGUAGGCUGCAACUCGCCUACAUGAAGUCGGAAUCGCUAGUAAUCGCGGAUCAGCAUGCCGCGGUGAAUACGUUCCCGGGCCUUGUACACACCGCCCGUCACACCAUGAGAGUUUGUAACACCCAAAGUCGGUGGGGUAACCUUUUAGGAACCAGCCGCCUAAGGUGGAGACUAGAUCAUUAGGGGAUCGU
rnacentral:rRNA from 1 species